GAUGAACGCUGGCGGCGUGCCUAAUACAUGCAAGUCGAGCGAACGGACGAGAAGCUUGCUUCUCUGAUGUUAGCGGCGGACGGGUGGGUAACACGUGGAUAACCUACCCAUAAGACUGGGAUAACUUCGGGAAACCGGAGCUAAUACCGGAUAAUAUUUUGAACCGCAUGGUUCAAAAGUGAAGGACGGUCUUGCUGUCACUUAUAGAUGGAUCCGCGCUGCAUUAGCUAGUUGGUAAGGUAACGGCUUACCAAGGCAACGAUGCAUAGCCGACCUGAGAGGGUGAUCGGCCACACUGGAACUGAGACACGGUCCAGACUCCUACGGGAGGCAGCAGUAGGGAAUCUUCCGCAAUGGGCGAAAGCCUGACGGAGCAACGCCGCGUGAGUGAUGAAGGUCUUCGGAUCGUAAAACUCUGUUAUUAGGGAAGAACAUAUGUGUAAGUAACUGUGCACAUCUUGACGGUACCUAAUCAGAAAGCCACGGCUAACUACGUG
rnacentral:rRNA from 1 species